ACUUAAAUAGUUUAUAAAAAUAUUGAUUUGUGGAAUCAAAGAUAUGAUUAAUCAUUUUAAGUA
rnacentral:tRNA from 1 species